ACGGGUGAGUAACACGUAGGUAACCUGCCUUUAAGACUGGGAUAACUAUCGGAAACGAUAGCUAAGACCGGAUAACUGGUUUUCUCGCAUGAGAGAAUCAUAAAACACGGAGCAAUCUGUGGCUUGAAGAUGGGCCUGCGGCGCAUUAGCUAGUUGGUGAGGUAACGGCUCACCAAGGCGACGAUGCGUAGCCGACCUGAGAGGGUGAACGGCCACACUGGGACUGAGACACGGCCCAGACUCCUACGGGAGGCAGCAGUAGGGAAUCUUCCGCAAUGGACGCAAGUCUGACGGAGCAACGCCGCGUGAGUGAUGAAGGUUUUCGGAUCGUAAAGCUCUGUUGCCCUAGACGAACAGCAAGGAGAGUAACUGCUCUUUGUGUGACGGUAUAGGAGAAGAAAGCCCCGGCUAACUACGUGCCAGCAGCCGCGGUAAUACGUAGGGGGCAAGCGUUGUCCGGAAUUAUUGGGCGUAAAGCGCGCGCAGGCGGUCAUUUAAGUCUGGUGUUUAAUCCUGGGGCUCAACCCCAGUUCGCAUCGGAAACUGGAUGACUUGAGUGUAGGAGAGGAAAGUGGAAUUCCACGUGU
rnacentral:rRNA from 1 species